rnacentral:rRNA from 1 species
GACGAACGCUGGCGGCGUGCUUAACACAUGCAAGUCGAACGGAAAGGCCCUGCUUUGGUGGGGUGCUGGAGUGGGGAGCGGGUGAGUAACACGUGAUUAACCUCACCUUGAGUUUGGGAUAACUUCAGGAGACUAGUGCUAAUACAUGAUAGGAGAUGCUGCUGCAUGGUGGGGAAUGGAAAGUUGGGGCGGGUUGGGAUGGACUCGCGGCAUAUCAGUUUGUUGGUGGGGGAGUGGCUUAGCAAGGCUGUGACGGGGAGCCGGCCUGAGAGGGUGACUGGCCACAUGGGGACUGAGAUACGGCCCAGACUCCUACGGGAGGCAGCAGUGGGGAAGAUUGCACAAUGGGCGGAAGCCUGAUGCAGCAACGCCGCGUGCGGGAUGACGGCCUUCGGGUUGUAAACCGCUUUCGCCUGUGACGAAGCGUGAGUGACGGUAAUGUGUAAAGAAGCACCGGCUAACUACGUG